CUGGACACAAUAUACCCAGAUCAUGCAGCACCAGUGACUGCCAUGAAGAGCCAUAUUCCAGUUGUGGCUUCAGUAAAACAUAGCAUGAAAACAGUCUGAAUCCAGCCACAGGAUGGAGAGAUCUACUAACUGGGGAAGAAACCUGCUGAAGCUUGGCCUCUGCUUAAUCUGCAUAUUCACAAACAACUUUUACACAAA